CUCUGCUGACCGGUAUGGCUGCGUGUUUGUGCAGCGUGCACACACAGGACUUUGAGACGGAUCCAUCAAGACGAGGCAGGUUCCGUCACUCAGCUUGACAGAAGACAGAAAGGCAGCAAGUCACCGGGGAAAGAGUGUGAACCUGGAGUCAGCUAGGGCUGGGUUUAACCCAGUGCUGCCACUUCUUAGCUGAGUAACCCCAGGUACUGCUGCUGAUGACUCAUGCUUGGUAAGUCAACAUUCCACUGUCAUCGAGCACAGAAGACGGUUAAAGAGCCUAAUCAGAUGAGAAAACUGAGGCACAGAGAGUGACUCCACUGGCCCUCAGCCUUUCCCUUCCACGACCUCAGCCUGGAACUUGUCAUUGCCAAGAACUGCAUCCUGUUUCAAGUGCCCCUAAGAAGCCCACUGCCUCCCUUCUCUUCCCCCCAGUCCUCUCUCUCACCCAGAACCUUCUGCAGCCUCACUUCUGUCCAUACGAGGGUAGCGUUCUUCGUUUUCAUCACGCUCCCCACACACGCUCAGCCCCCUGGCCCCUCGCCCAGGUGGAAUUCUUGUCUGACAUGAUCCAACCCUGGGCACGUCCAACCUCUUGCCCAUCCCAUGGCUGCAGCCUCCCUUAAGGAAGUGCUCGUCGCGCAGCCGGGUGCCACAGGCGUGGCCAUGGCUCCUUGACACCCUUAGCACCUCUGCCCGUGGGCCGCUCCCCCUGCUGUCCGCAAGCCUCUCACCCCAGCCUCCGCCCUGUGCACCACCCUCUCUCAGUUCCGGUGGGGUCUUCCUUCCCGGCUCUGGAAACAGCAGCAACCAGAAGACACCUGUCCGGGCUGGGCCACCACAUCCACCCGUCCCUGGCUGUCCUAGCUGCGUUCCCCCCACCCCACCACAGCCUGUGCCCCCUUCCCACAGCAUCCCGCACGCUGUGAUUUCUCCCAUCUCAGAAAUCCCUCUAUUGACGCCACCUUACCUCCAGCUGCCAUCAGUCCUCUGCUCUUUCUGAAGGCAAAGCCCCUCCCAAGUCAUCCACUUGCCGUCUCCAAUUGUUCCCCUUCCCCGUCAGCCUCCCCGACAGUUCUCACCCACCCGGCUCCACAGUGUCCACCUCAAGGCCACUGAAGAUUUUCACAUCCCUCGGUCGGGGGGUCGGUGCUCAGACCCCCGAGGACGCGGCUCUUGGCGUCCUGGCUCCGACAGACUCCCCAGCCCUCUCCUCGUCCCGCAUCGCUGCUGCUGGCCGUCCACUUUGCUGGCUUAUCCUCCUCUCUCGGCCUCCAAACCCUGGAGUUCUUGGGGUGUCGUUAGUGGAAUUUCUCUCUUCUACAUCCGCUCACUCCUUGGGAAUCUACCCAGUUUCAAAGCUUCAAACAUCAAUAAUACUCUGACGAGCCCCAGAGCUCAUCUGUCCCCAGCCCGGACCACCCCGAGCUCCAGACGCUGCACCCAACUCGCUACUGGAUGUUGCCACUCGGAUGGCUAGUAGGCGUCUCCUGGGUAAACACACCCACGACAGCUCCUGACCUCCCCACUCCCAGAUCCCACCGCCCCCCAGUCUUCUCAAACUCAGAAAAUGACAACUCCAUCCUGUUGCUCCAUCCUUCCAGUUGCUCAGAUUAAAAUCUUCAGAGUCAUCCUUGGGUCUCCGCUUUCUCUCAAACCUCACAUUAAAUCUGUCAGCACAUCCUGUGGCUCUGCCUCCCGCGCCUGGCCAUUUCUCACCGUCUCCCAGUCUAAGCCACCGCGAGCCGCCAUUGUUCUUCCAGACUGUUACAGUUUCUUCCUCAUGUCAUUCUGCCAUGUCCCUCCAGAGACUCUCACGUUGCUCAGAGUGUGGCCCGGCAUUACCAGAGUCUACAGGGCUGCCCUGCUCUGGCUCCCCUCCUGCAGCUCCCCUCAGCCCUACAGCCUCUUAGAUGCUCCCUAAGCAAGCCAGGCUCUCUCCUGCCUCAGGGCCUUUGCACCUGACAUUCCCUUUGCCUAAACACUCCUCCCUCAGCUCUCUGCCUGGCUCAC